GUGAGUGACAGGGCGGAGACGAGUCGGCUGGCGCCGCAUCAUCGAGGGGCGGGGCGGCCCCGUCGCGCUCCGUCCCGCCUCCCCGCGCUCCUGGCGCCGCCCGCCCGCCGGCCGCGCCCUCCCUCCGGAGCUGCACCUUCCUACGCAACCAGAAGGAAAUUGUGAGUUCAUGGUGCCAUCCAGCCACAACUCCCAUACUUCAUUUGGGAGACAUUGAAAAAAUUACAGCAGACAUGGUUUCUAAAUAAAGAGUUUUGGAAGAGAGGCAAAGAGACCUGGGUAUAUCUUGUGCAAGAAAAGUUUUCACAAGUGGCUGCACCAGCUUGCAUUCCCACCAACAGUGGAGGAGGAACAAAACCUUUUUUUAAAAAUAAAUAGCCCUGAAGGAGGGCCAGAGAAUAUUGGAAACCUGUUCCCCAAGAAGAGGAUGGACACGCAAGACAUCCAAAUCCAAGUUUUCCUCAAUUUAUCAACUGCUAUUUUUUCCCCUCCCUAAAUGGACAUUUGUGAAUUCAUUUGGAACUUAGAAGAAACUAUUUCUAGGGAAAGAAUGUUAAAGAUGGUAGUUUGGUUUCUAGCAGGGCUUGUAAACCUACUAACCCUCAUGUAGCCACACCGAAAAAUUCUAGUUCCCUGCUGUUCCUGAGGGAAAACAGCAACAUUCCACCCUGCAACCCAGGAUGCUGGAAUAUCUCCCUAUUUCCCAAACUGCUGUCCACCACAACUGCCCAGUUUGGAAAGUAGGCAUAAAAUGCUCCAGUAUCCUCUCCUACUGGGCCAACAGAGAAAGACAAUUGUUUUCCUCAUAGUGACAAAAGAAACAAGAAUUCUCAGAUAGCCAAUGUGAACAGGAAGGGGGCAAUGACUCACAUAUUAGGGAUGUUCCAAAGUUAGUUUUCAGGCUUGGGAAGGACCUAUACCCAGGAACUUGCUUCAUUUUCUUUCACAGUGAGUUUGUCAUUGCUGCCCCGUAUGUUUGGUUUAGUUUAAUAGAAAUAGCUGUGUCGCUUCUUGAUCAUGAGAGGUGGCAGGUGUUCUGACUCUUCUUUCUUGUGGGCAAAUAAUAGAACCUGUAAAACCCAGGCCACUCCCCUCCCCUAGCCCUUUGGCUUCCAUAAAGCCUCAAAGGAAAGGUCACUCUGGACAAUUGGAACUGAGGUACCAGAAACCGUGCACAAGUCCUACCAGCCACCUCACAGGAUUCUCUAAUGACAUGACCUAUGCACUGUCGCCUUUACAUUAGUCCAGCUACAACUAAAGCCAGAAAUAACUCUGACAUCCAUAAAAAAAUUUAAGGUUCAAAAUUCUUUCUCCAUCCCCACCCCACCAGUAUUAGCUUGUAGAUGAACUAGCUAAUGGUCACUCAUGACAUUUUUUUUUGCUGCAAAAUUAUUGGCUAAUUAUACCAAUUAUUGUAUUCAUAGCCUAUCAGACCAUGCUUUGAUCAUCUAGAGACAAAAAUGUUCCUUGGACUCCAUCCAUGGGGCAACAACUGGUGUCUGUUUUGAUUGUUCUUUCUGAAAACCCCAUUGCCAGUAGGGCUCAUCAUCAUCAUCGACCACUGAGGCUUGGCAUGGCUCCAGAAAGAACGAUUAGGGCACGGCAUCCAGAGUCCUCAGGAGAGGAAUUCCUGCUUGGCAACUCUCCCUUCUGAAGCAUUCAAAAAAAAAAAAAAAAAAAAAAACCGAAUAAUCACACAAACAUGUACUCUCCUCUCCAAAGAAUUAUCACCCUAUCUUUCCGAACCCUGGACAUUCUGAUUACAUGGGUAUACACACAUUGAAGUGAUAAAAGCCUCUCUCUGUUUUAGAGCGCCCUUCCCUGCAGACCACAUUACUUACAGAUCGCCAUGUUGAGGACAAUCCAGUAAGAUGUAAGGAUGUAUGGAGAAGCAAGGAAAUAUCUACAACUUGACAAAAUAUUCACAUAUCUAUGCUUUGGUUGAAUAAUUUAAGAUUCUUCCAAACCGUACAUGUAUCUUUACAUUUGAAAAUGUCCAGGGACCACCUGGCAUUAAAGCUUAAUCAUCUUUCAGAAAACUUUUUUCCAUAUAAGUCAAAGCUUAGUGAACUAUUAAAGUAACAUAAGCAUAAAAUGGAAUUGUCAAGAUCAUAUCAGAUAAUAUGAUGGUUGGAUUAAACUGUGCCUCAAAAAAUAACUGAAAACAUAUUUACAUUCUGUCAUUCCUCAGUACCUAUAUUACCUUUGAGUCAGUAAAUACAUGAUGACUGUUGAUGUUCAAAAGUGUUUCUGACUCUGCUGUAUUCACAGUAUUAUAAAUGCACUCAUCAUUAAAUUGUGGUUUUAAACAAUUUAGUAGUAUAAACUAUUACAGAUUUUUAUCUCUAAUGGUUCAUUUUUUCUCACAGUUUUGAUACACACAUCCUAUUUAUGGGAGGGCAUGAUAAUUCAGGUUAGAGGCAGAUUGAAACAAGAACCAUCUGUCCUUUUCCCCCCGUCUAAGUCCUUCUGUCAUAAUUAAUUGUUGUUUUAAAAAAAAAAAAGCGUACCACCUCUUUGCUGGUGUCUCGCAAGAGGUCAGCAGUCAUUGUCUUCUUUUAGAGUAAUGGUGCUUAAAAUAUUACAUGCUUUGUCCUCUGCGGCACUAAACACAUGACGUACUGUUGUGGUUCCAAAGCCUUCCCAUAGACUGAGAGAGACAGGUGGAAACCACUUUUGUGAAUGUCAGAGUCUAACAAAAUGGGGACAAAAUUUAAAAUGUUAGUUAAGACUGUUCCACUUUGUAUUAAGUAUUUCAGCUGUCUGCCUCAUGGGGAUGAAAAAGCAACUGAAGAAAAAAAAUAAACAUAUCAUGGUUAUAUUGAUAAAAAUUAGCUGUUAAAAAUCAUAAGAAAAAUACUGAUUUUACAUCAAGGUGUGUCAAUGCUUGACAGAAAAUAAGUUAAAAGCAUAAACCUACACUUCCUAAAGACUUCUGCCAUUCCUUAAUUUCAAAAUUAUCCCAGGAGAAACUGAAAGGAGCCAGAGCUAGGAUUUAAUAUUUUUAUUUAAUUUUUCUUAGAAGGAAAUUGAUUCUAGGAGGGACCAACAUGGUGGGGAUGGUAAUUGAGAAGAUGAAAGAUCUGCUCAGAGGUAUUGUGUUAUGAGCCCUGGAGGGGCUCCCAAAGGAUCUACAUCAACUCAAGUGGACGAUUCAUAAAAUUGUGUUACAGUCCUCAAAAACACUACCUGGGUAUUUAUUCAACCAGCAUGUUGUAAAUACCUUCUCUGUACCCAAAAUUGGAUAUAGAGAGGGGGCAAUGAGAUGCAAAAUUGAUAGCAGAUAUUGUUGCUGCUGUUUUUAAUCAUCAAGGAACUUUAAUCUAUUGGGCUCAGCCAUUAAAUCCAGAAUAAACCAAAUAAUAGAGACCUCCUCUAGUGCUGUGAUUUGGGGAACCACAAAGGAUCUCUCUUUCCCAGAAUAUCCUUUCCCUUAGUCUGCCCAUUUUUCUGAAGUCCUCCCUAUUAAAACCAAUCUUCAAGUUCAGGCUUUUUAUUUAGGUAAAGAUGUGGAACACACACAUACACAGAAUCCUUAUAAAGCCCCUAUUAUAAUAUAAUUAUGUUACUUCGAGGGCUCAUACAGUUAUCAGGUAACAUUUCAGUCUUGGCAUAGAGCAAAACAAGGUCCUGAGGUAGUGAAAUCUAAGACAGGAAACCAAAAUAUAGGUAAGGAAGGAAAAACAGAAUGGUCCAGAAUAAAAUGUGGGAAGUAGUUCAGGGGAAUUACAACAUCAAUAAAGUGAGUUCAAACUACAGGUCCAUAAUAUAGGGGCAUUUCAAUGCCACCGUGAUAAAGCUAAAACUCUACUUACAAAGAAUGAAAAGCUGAGAGGUUAUUAUCAAGAAGAGUGUGUUAGUAACGGGGCCAUAUAGUCUUCAGACUAGAUCAGAAGAGACAGAGACGGAAAUCAGGGAGCUCAGUGAAGACUAUGGACUUUUUCAAGAAUAUAGAGACAAAAUACUUGAAUUAGAUGGAGGUAUAAUAAGAAUAAAUUUUUAUUCUAAAUAAAUAUAAUGAACUGUAGUAACAGACUGGUUAUGAGAAUUGCGGGAAAGAGAGGCACUACCUCAUGACUUUUACUGGGAGGUAACGGGAAGUUGGUGAUGGCCUUGAAAGAUGCAAGGACGCUGGAAAGAAUACCCAGUUUGGCCACUGUUGGCUGCGUGGAAAGCUGGGGAUUGGCCAAUGUUACUCUAAACAACUCUAGUCAUAUGAUCGACUAGACAUUUCCUUUUGCCUUAUGACCCAGGACUAGAGAUUUCGUGAGAUAUGGGCCAAAGAAUCUGCAAGUCACAAAGAAUCCAAGCCUUGGGGUAGAUGACAAAGAGCAGAAAGCCAAGGGGACAGUGAAAGAGAAAGCAUGUGAGCAGUGGAGAGGGCAGGGGGAUAUGAAAAAGAGAGUGGAGCCCAAAGCAGGGCUUGAUCUCACGACCUCAUCACAACCACGAAAUCAUGACCUGCAUGGAAACCAAGAGCCCAUCGCUGAACAGACUAAGCCACCCAGGCACCCCAAGGAAAACAACUUUUAAAAAAUUUACUAAAUGAAUA